rnacentral:rRNA from 1 species
GACGAACGCUGGCGGCGUGCUUAACACAUGCAAGUCGAACGGAAAGGCCCUGCUUUUGUGGGGUGCUCGAGUGGCGAACGGGUGAGUAACACGUGAGUAACCUGCCCUUGACUUUGGGAUAACUUCAGGAAACUGGGGCUAAUACCGGAUAGGAGCUCCUGCUGCAUGGUGGGGGUUGGAAAGUUUCGGCGGUUGGGGAUGGACUCGCGGCUUAUCAGCUUGUUGGUGGGGUAGGGGCUUACCAAGGCUUUGACGGGUAGCCGGCCUGAGAGUGUGACCGGCCACAGUGGGACUGAGAUACGGCCCAGACUCCUACGGGAGGCAGCAGUGGGGAAUAUUGCACAAUGGGCGGAAGCCUGAUGCAGCAACGCCGCGUGCGGGAUGACUGCCUUCGGGUUGUAAACCGCUUUCGCCUGUGACGAAGCGUGAGUGACGGUAAUGGGUAAAGAAGCACCGGCUAACUACGUG